rnacentral:rRNA from 1 species
UACAGCAGUGGCAGACGGGUGAGUAACACGUGGGAACCUUCCUAGGGGUACGGAACAACUCAGGGAAACUUGAGCUAAUACCGUAUACGUCCGUGAGGAGAAAGAUUUAUCGCCCUUAGACGGGCCCGCGUCGGAUUAGCUAGUUGGUGGGGUAACGGCCUACAAGGCGACGAUCCGUAGCUGAUCUUAGAGGAUGAUCAGCCACACUGGGACUGAGACACGGCCCAGACUCCUACGGGAGGCAGCAGUGGGGAAUCUUGGACAAUGGGCGCAAGCCUGAUCCAGCCAUGCCGCGUGAGUGAAGAAGGUCUUCGGAUUGUAAAGCUCUUUUACCAGGGACGAUAAUGACGGUACCUGGAGAAUAAGCCCCGGCAAACUUCGUGCCAGCAGCCGCGGUAAUACGAAGGGGGCUAGCGUUGUUCGGAAUUACUGGGCGUAAAGCGCACGUAGGCGGGUCGUUAAGUCAGGGGUGAAAUCCCGGAGCUCAACUCCGGAACUGCCUUUGAUACUGGCG